GACGAACGCUGGCGGCGUGCUUAACACAUGCAAGUCGAACGGAAAGGCCCUGAUUUUGUGGGGUGCUCGAGUGGCGAACGGGUGAGUAACACGUGAGUAACCUGCCCUUGACUUUGGGAUAACUUCAGGAAAAUGGGGCUAAUACCGGAUAGGAGCUCCUGCUGCACGGGGGGGGUUGGAAAGUUUCGGCGGUUGGGGAUGGAAUAGCGGCUUAUCCGCUUGUUGGUGGGGUAGUGGCUUACCAAGGCUUUGACGGGUAGCCGGCCUGAGAGGGUGACCGGCCACAUUGGGACUGAGAGACGGCCCAGACUCCUACGGGAGGCAGCAGUGGGGAAUAUUGCACAGUGGGCGGAAGCCUGAGGCAGCAACGCCGCGUGCGGGAUGACGGCCUUCGGGUUGUAAACCGCUGUCGCCUGUGACGAAGCGGGAGUGACGGUAAUGGGUAAGGAAGCACCGGCUAACUACGUG
rnacentral:rRNA from 1 species